rnacentral:rRNA from 2 species
GUGCUAAUACCGCAUAACCAUGAACACCGCAUGAUGUUCAUGUAAAAGACGGCUUUUGCUGUCACUUUUGGAUGGGCCUGCGGCGUAUUAACUUGUUGGUGGGGUAACGGCCUACCAAGGUGAUGAUACGUAGCCGAACUGAGAGGUUGAUCGGCCACAUUGGGACUGAGACACGGCCCAAACUCCUACGGGAGGCAGCAGUAGGGAAUCUUCCACAAUGGACGAAAGUCUGAUGGAGCAACGCCGCGUGAAUGAAGAAGGCCUUCGGGUCGUAAAAUUCUGUUGUCAGAGAAGAACGUGCGUGAGAGUAACUGUUCACGUAUUGACGGUAUCUGACCAGAAAGCCACGGCUAACUACGUGCCAGCAGCCGCGGUAAUACGUAGGUGGCAAGCGUUGUCCGGAUUUAUUGGGCGUAAAGGGAACGCAGGCGGUCUUUUAAGUCUGAUGUGAAAGCCUUCGGCUUAACCGAAGUAGUGCAUUGGAAACUGGAAGACUUGAGUGC